rnacentral:rRNA from 1 species
AUGCUUCCCCUCUCGCUCCUCAAGACCGCCCAGGGGCAUCCCAUGCUCGUGGAGCUCAAGAACGGCGAGACCUACAAUGGGCACUUGGUGAACUGCGACACGUGGAUGAACAUCCACCUCCGGGAGGUUAUUUGCACCUCUAAGGAUGGUGAUAAGUUUUGGAGGAUGCCGGAGUGCUAUAUUCGUGGUAACACGAUCAAGUAUCUUCGGGUUCCUGAUGAGGUGAUUGACAAGGUUCAAGAGGAAACUUCUAAGAGUAGAUCAGAUAGGAAGCCACCAGGUGUUGGUCGUGGAAGAGGAAGAGGAGAUAUAGGCACUAAACCUGGAGGCAGAGGCAUUGGUCGUGGCCAAGAUGAUGGCAAAGGCGGUGGCCGUGGAAGGGGCGGAAUUGGAAGUAAAGGUGGCAACAAAGGCGGACGUGGUCGUGGGUAA